CUUGAACUGCGUCCGGAUUGUGGUGUUGGUCGUUUGUUGGUCGAAAAGUUAUCUAUCAAACCACCUGAUGGCCAGACCAAACUCAAAAUUUUGACUGCAAUUGCAGAGGAACACAACAUCAAGUGGGACCCUGAAUCAUUUGGAGCAAAAGAAUCAAAGAUAUACGAUGACUUGAUGAAUGGACCAAAUGCUUUGUUGGAGGCCACCAAAACUUCGGCAGGUCGCCCUAAUACCCAAGCUUCAACCAGUCAUUAUGAGCAGAGACCGACUAGCGUUCAAGUUCCUAGUCCUAAUGUUCAAUCUCCAAAACACAUUGCUAAAAAUGAUGUGCCCUCAAGCUUUAAUGGGCACAGCUCAAGAUUAUCUCCUCAUUCUAAAAAAA